GUCCCUGUAGCGCAAAUGAUAGCGAGUUGGACUUCUAAUCCAAAGAUUAUGGGUUCGAAUCCCACCUGGGAUG
rnacentral:tRNA from 1 species